AAAUAAUAAAGUAUUUGAUUAAAUUUUAUAUGAAAUUCAAUUAUAAAGUUUGUAAAUAUUGGCAGUAUUUAUUUAAAUUCUGAGAAACUUGCUUAAUUAAAAUGAUAUUACACAGUUUAUCUUAUCUUAAUGUUUGGUUUAUGUAUUGCUGUUUAAUUUAUAAAUUAAAUGUUUGUUUAAAUAAGUAUAAUGAUAAAAUAAAGAAUAAGAAUUUCAAGUCAAAAUAUAGUUAUAUUAAGGUUUAAGUGAGUUGCUUUUUUUUAGAAAAUUAGAAUAAUUAUUUUUAAUGAAAAAUUUUUGAAUAAAGGAUUAGGUUGUAAAAAAAAAUUAGUAAGUUUUUUUGAUAAAAUUUAUAAAUGUGU
rnacentral:rRNA from 1 species